rnacentral:rRNA from 1 species
UUGGAGGGCAAGUCUGGUGCCAGCAGCCGCGGUAAUUCCAGCUCCAAUAGCGUAUAUUAAAGUUGUUGCAGUUAAAAAGCUCGUAGUUGAAUUUCGGGAUUGACACAUCGGUCGUGCCUUAAGGGGUAUGAACUGGUGUAGUCAAUUUCUCACCUUCUGGAGAACCGCGAUGCCCUUAAUUGGGUGUCGCGGGGAACCAGGACCUUUACUUUGAAAAAAUUAGAGUGUUUAAAGCAGGCAUUUUGCUUGAAUACAUUAGCAUGGAAUAAUAAAAUAGGACGGCAUGAAUCUAUUUUGUUGGUUUCUAGGAUCACCGUAAUGAUUAAUAGGGAUAGUUGGGGGCAUUAGUAUUCAAUUGUCAGAGGUGAAAUUCUUGGAUUUAUUGAAGACUAACUACUGCGAAAGCAUUUGCCAAGGAUGUUUUCAUUAAUCAAGAACGAAAGUUAGGGGAUCGAAGACGAUCAGAUACCGUCGUAGUCUUAACCAUAAACUACGCCGACUAGGGAUCGGAUGAUGUUAUUUUUAAUGAAUCAUUCGGCGCCUUACGGGAAAC